CGGGAGCCAAAACUCUAAACCCACGGGAGAGGCGCUGUCAGAAUAUGACGCUGAAGGGGCGGGGUUUUGACCAUAUAUGGAGCGCUGACGCUUCCUGUCAGGCAGUGGCGCUCCACUGUACGGGUCCAGCCCUAUAGUGCAGCAAGCCUGAGAACACUCAUUCGCUCCACUUUUCCUCUUGCUUAGGCCCUAUAUGUGGAGCCAUCUGGACGUGGAGAGAGGGAGUCAGCUGCUCCACACACUGAGGCGCGGAGCCUGAAUCCGUCUCAGCUCAUUCUGUGGGAUCAUCUGCGUGGUGGGCUUACACCGUGGAAAAUGCGCUCUUCAUCAUUAGGUGAAAUGUUACCAUCAAAAUAAAAACAAAAAAAAGAGGAAAUGCUGAUCCCCGUUUGUUUUAGUGGUUGCAUGCGUGAAAACUUUGCACGGGAGUGGGAUUAGAAGCACAUUUUCUUUUUUUUUCUUUUAAAAAAAAGCGGUUUCUCAGCUGCGUGAUGGAGGUAAGUGAUGGGUGACAAGAAGGGGAACAAACUAUUUGUCUGAUCUCUGUAUCUUGGCCGCAGUGAAUGCUCAUUUAAAUGACCGGCUGAUGACACGGGGGCCUGCUAUCUCAUUCUCCUAUUCAGUGACCACAAUGAAUGAACCCCCAAAGAUUUGGGCCCUGACCACUGAUACAAAACCAAACUCCGGGGACGCAUGGCGUCCAAUAAUAAUAAUAAUAUAAAAAAGAAAAAGCAGAAAUGUGCAGGGUGACUUGGAAGACCUCCCGUCUCGCCGGAACGAGCCUCCUCCGUAUUGAGGGUGACGUCUUCUUUUUUGUGUGAAUUUACGGGGCGAGGCCCUCAUGAUCUCCUUAAAUUUGCAUGUAAAUGGCGACAUCAGCCUAUACGCGUGCCAGGGGCCAGCGGGCCUCCCAGAUGUCAAGGCAAAGUCAAUCAGCCGGCCGCUGCCCAGCUGUCCAUCGAUGCACUUUAUUGGGACAACACUUUCAUUAUGCUCACCUGCAUUGUUUCCUAAUGGAUUGAUUGGCAAAAGAAGAAGAAGAAGAAGAAGGGGGGAAAUAAAGGAAAUCUUAUUAGCAACCCAGCAAGCAAGUUCGCUCACGGCUUUAUCACAGAGGUUGUUUUAAAGUGAGCCUUUUUUCGAUUAAAUAUUAAUCAAAUGCGCCUACAGUUACAUUCCAAAUUCCAUAUGGAACAAAAAAAAAAGAAAAAAAAAAGGCAGUCAGCCCACUUAUUGUUUACUGCAACUAACAUUGUUUAGACCUAGGAUUUUCCGUCAACUUGAAAUGUAUGGAUUUAUUUAUUUAUUUGUAUGCGACAUGUGCAAGUUAGUGCGCAAAAAAAAGAAAACAUGCAGCCUUUGUUUUAAUUUUUUCCAUCACUUGUAGCUGCACGAUAAAAGCUCAAUUAACUGUAUGCACAUAUUUUUUUUAUUUUUUUUCUCAUAAGUGGGAGGAAUUAAACAACACUUAUGCAUGCAUUUUAAAUUUUUAUGAAUUUACUAAAAAACAAAAAAACAAAGCCCAAUUGCGCAUUGGGAUAAAAAUCCUCUUUGCAAACUUUGGAUCCACCAUCAGUUGCAGGGCCUAAUAAAUGCACGUCCGGAAUUUGACGUGACAUAUUCAGAGAUGAUAUUAAAACGCAGCUUGCGCGUUAUUUUUAAUUAUAGGAGCCAAACACAAACGGCUGAGAGUGAUGAGAUCAAUCAUGUAGGCUGUAUGCACGUCAAGUAGUUUGUGGCUGAUAGACGGACAGCGCCCCUCGUUGGUUACACUUGAGAUCAUUGUGUCGAUAUGAGGCAGCUGUGUUCUUCAGUGACAAGAUAGCUAAAUCUCAACUUGGGUUUUUAUCUAGGAGACCCCCUCUUUGGCCCCCACACUGCGGCAGAAACUGUUUUUAUUUAGGAGAAAUUAUUUAAAAUAAAAAAGUUUAAAAAAUGCAAAUCCUAAAACUGUGCAAAACAGCUGACUACUAAUUUUAAAAAAUGAAAUUAAAAUCCAUAUUUGUAGAGCAAAAAGACGCAGAAAGGAAAUCAUUUUGCCGUUUUGUAAAUCACUUUAAACCAUAUUAUUGUUAUUGGUAUUAUUAUUAUUAGUUGCUUCUGUUGCGUUCAGGUGCGUUUAUUGUGGGAUUGAGUGGGGAAAAAAAUAAAAAUAAAACCCAUGCGUUUUCUUUGACACACCGCUGGUGUGACUUCACGUUUCGUCACUAACUUCUGUCAGAGUGCUCAUGUUAAUUGUGUGCAGUGGUGAGUUCUGUCAAGGGCAUUGCCCGUGCGCACAAUUUGCAUUUCCAUUCUGCUGUGGAAAUGAUGAGAGAGUUUCUGCGCGGUUUAGAGCCUCGCGGCGCAGUCUGUGGGCGAAUUACAUUUAAAGAAGGCGAGAGAAAUUAAAUAAGAAACCGAGACCACUUCAGGGCUAUUAACAUCUAAAAUAUCCCCUGGAAAUUUAGACCAAAAUACACAUGACCAAAUACCCAGGAUACCUUCGCUCUUAUAGCGCAGAACCGUCUUGAUUGCGUCCAUCACUGUUUUGUGGGCAUAUCUAAAAUCCUUUAUUUAAAUAAUAAGAAAAAAAGUUAUCACGCCGCCUCAUAUUUCUCCGUGGCGUAGAUGGAAGGGAGAUAAAUUUGAUUAUUCAGCCCCUAAAACGGGAGCUCUUCUAAUCCAGGCGCCCUGCUGCCAAACAGGCUGUGGCACCUGGAAAAUAGGUGCAAAUAUCUAUCUGGCUUUAGAGGUCAUUUAAAAAUCUCAUCAGUAAGUAUGAUAUGGGCACAUGUUGCAUCGGGCAACGUGGCCUCCAAACGGGAGGCAUCAGCUUUAACCUUGGUCUCUCUUCCUCCUCCUUCUUCUUCUUCUUUUUUUUCCCAGCGCCUGUGCGUGCAUGACCAAACAGGCUGCAGCCUUUGCCUCAGCACUCCAGAGAACUUUAAUUUGCCUGUUGACCCCUGUGAUGGAGGGGUUGCCAACUUACAGUGAUACUGCCCCACCUGCCAGAGUCCAAUAAUUCUCCAGUCACUCCCAUCAAAAUGUAUAUUUUUCAACGUGUUGCAUCAGUACCUCUAAAUGACUUCUGCAGGGAUUACCAUCAUUAAGGAGAUCCAUGUUUGAUGCAGACUGACAGGGUGUCUCCUAUAUGAGCAACACACCACAAUUCAUUACCACUCCACGACUGAAUUUUGAUUUUAGCCACAGAUCCUUAUUAAUAUUGAACUGUGUUACUAUUAACAGAAAUGUUAAUUAUGAUGUCAAGACAGAGGGAGUCAAGGUGAAAGCUGCACAGCAAUAGCUAAAAAUAAUCCAUGCCAGCCAGAGUACAGUAUGAUCCUGCAGAGGAGUGUUACUGGCAAGGGACCUUUUUGCUGCAACAAAGAGGUGGAAAAGAGGAAGUAAAUGAAUUAGAGUACAAGCCAGAUUUUUUGUCUUUGUUUCAUCCACACUUGUCCUGUCCCUAUUUUCCAACCUCUCCCUUUUCCUUGCUAUUGGAAGUGCUGCAAAUUGUAUAAUGCUGGUCUUUGUUCUACAGAGUCAAGCCACAUGAAUAGCCGUCCUGAGCACACACAAAAACACACUGACAAACUGAUCAUCUUAAAAAAGCAACGCCCUGGUGCUCACUUGGCCUACUUUCCACGGCAGCACUGGGACGUGGGAAGAGGAAUAGAAUUCAGGGGAGGAUGUUCUUGCACUCUGGGAAACAUUCAGUAUAGCAAGUGUGAUGCACAUAAACAUAGCCUUUGCAUUGUCAACCUUAGACUGCAUUUGCCCCAGAUAACUAGUCCCCAUGUGCUAGACUAUUCUCUUUGACUUUGCAAUUGAAAUCCUGAGAAGAUUAUGCCAAAGCUAAAAGAGGCAAACUCCAGGGUGGGAUUUCAAUUGUCAAUUCCUGUUGGAUUUUAUAGCAUUAUGACAUAUAGUACACCAUCUGUUACGCUUCCUGUGACUAGGUCUACAUCUGCACAAGUGGAGCCUAUUGAUGUGAACAUCAGUACAACUAAGACCUGCCGUUCUGAAUGGGCAGCAAUAUUCAAUCGCUAAUAUUUUCCUCUUGCACACUAUUUAACACAGAUGUAUGACUAAGCACGGGGGGGUCUCUGGGUUACAAAACACAAGAGCAAAUUAGAAAAGGUGCAGGAAAGUAACCACUCCUAACUUUAGCUAAACAGACUUCCUGAAGCGCUAGAUAAUCUGGGGCUUCUAUGUACACCGCCUAACCAAAUGUCGACAUCUGUGAGGGUGUGCAUAAAGAAAAGCUUCUCAGAGAAACGGGGGAUAAUAAUCUUAGUUCCCCUCACCUUCAGCUUGCCCAUAGGGGUUUAAAAGAGAGAUGAAAUCCUAUGUAAACAUGCCAAGUCAAAUUUUCACUUGAAAUGUGACAUAAAGGCAAAGGGCAGCCUCGGCGCAUCACUAAUGUGCUUCCACACAUGAGUUUUCAGCGCCCCUGGAUGUAAACAAUUGAUGUAUUCAGCCCGUGGUUUGAACACUGAGUCACUGCGCACUCUUAGUAUGUUUGAGCAUCUUCUUAUCCAUGACUGUACGUUUAGUGCAUAGGUGAAGAGCCCAGAGAAGUCAACACAAGAGCUUGUACACAAUCUCUGUACUCAAUAGCUCCCCGAAAGUGAGUUUUGCUCUCCUGAGAAACAUACAAAGUUUGAGCAUCUGUUCCAUCAUGUAGUCUUUGUUGAGAAAUUAAAUAUUGAACUGAUCUAGUGUACCAUGAAUGUUUCACUCACAUAGUGAUUAGACAGACAGGAGAGGCAAGACACUGCAGCACUUUACACUCCACUUUAAUAUACUGUAUUUGUUGGUCUUGCCUUUAAGUGUUUUAUCCACCAGAUUGCAUUGUUGUGACAGAAAAAAGGCUGUUUUUUUUUAUUUUUUAUUUUAAGUGAGUUAUAUUUAACGUGCAUGUGUGACUUGACACAAACAAAUUCAUAUGUAUGUUAUGCAUGUGCACAAACACAAUCAACCACAGUAUGAGAAUCACUGUAUGGCGUUGUCCAGCUGUGUGAAUUAACAUAAUUUUUUUUUAAACAUAAAUUACUUUUUGGUUUUAUGAUUCAAUUUCCAAGUUGGUGGCAUCUGUUUUUACACUUUAAUGUUAUUGUGCAUGUAAAAAAAAAACCUACUGAUUUAAAUUGGUUUUCUUGUUGCAUCUCAGAAUAAAGGACACCUCUUUUCUUAAUUCCUCA